rnacentral:rRNA from 1 species
CAAGAGCGUAUGUAAAAGUUGUUGCAGUUAAAAAGCUCGUAGUUGAACCUUGGGUUUGGUUGGCCGGUCCGCUUUUUUGCGAGUACUGGAUUCAACCGAGCCUUUCCUUCUGGCUAACCAGUCGUUUCGGCGGCUGGCGAACCAGGAUUUUUACUUUGAGAAAAUUAGAGUGUUCAAAGCAGGCAUUAGCUUGAAUAUAUUAGCAUGGAAUAAUAGAAUAGGACGUUAUGGUUCUAUUUUGUUGGUUUCUAGGACCAUCGUAAUGAUUAAUAGGGACGGUCGGGGGCAUCGGUAUUCAGUUGUCAGAGGUGAAAUUCUUGGAUUUACUGAAGACUAACUACUGCGAAAGCAUUUGCCAAGGACGUUUUCAUUAA